rnacentral:rRNA from 1 species
AUGCUUCAAGCUUUUAGUGAUUGUCUAUUUGAAUGUGGCCUGGACGGAGUUGAGUUUUUGGAAGAUCGGUUUACAUGGAGACGUGGUGAUAUCCAGGAGAGAUUGGAUCAGGCGGUAGGCAAUGAGGGAUGGUCAACAAAGUUUCCACUGGCAGCGGUUGUUCACGAGCACCAUGUGCACUCUAAUCAUCGACCGUUGCUAUUAGACACGCAGUAUUAUGAUGGAUCUCAUUUCAGGAAAUCGUCCUGCAAAAAGUUUGAGGCCUGCUAG